rnacentral:rRNA from 1 species
GACGAACGCUGGCGGCGUGCUUAACACAUGCAAGUCGAACGGUUAAGCGCCUUCCUUUUUGGUGGGUGUGGAUGAGUGGCGAACGGGUGAGUAACACGUGAGUAACCUGCCCCCUUCUUCUGGAUAACCGCAUGAAAGUGUGGCUAAUACGGGAUAUUCUGUGUCUGUCGCAUGAUGGGUCUGGGAAAGAUAUUGUUUCGGUGGGGGAUGGGCUCGCGGCCUAUCAGCUUGUUGGUGGGGUGAUGGCCUACCAAGGCGGUGACGGGUAGCCGGCCUGAGAGGGUCGACGGUCACACUGGGACUGAGACACGGCGAAGACUCCUACGGGCGGCAGCAGUGGGGAAUAUUGCACAAUGGGCGAAAGCAUGAUGCAGCGACGCCGCGUGAGGGAUGGAGGCCUUCGGGUUGUGAACAUCUUUCGCCAGUGAAGCAGGCCUGCCUCGUUUGUGGGUGGGUUGACGGUAGCUGGAUAAGAAGCGCCGGCUAACUACGUG